CAGCUGGGAUGAUGGACCGCAGGAUGAAGGCGUUUCGCAAUCCAGUUCGACGUGACAUGGAACAAAACUGAACAAACUGCAGCAAAUCAGCGGCCUUACCUGUCACUUGCAGUGUCUGAAGUUCCCCGUCACUGUCCUGAACAGUGGUGGCUGACGCAGUGCUCAACUGCCAAGGUAUCCACAUUCAAGCUGGAUGAAGGGUUCCAGCUCGUUAACAGUGGUGGAUGAUCGCAGAAUCAUUUCCAUGAUGAAGAGAAACCCCUUAGUAACAGCCAACCAAGUGAACAACACUCUCCAGGAGGUCGGCGUAUCAAUAUCCAAAUCUACCAUAAAGAGAAGACUGCAUGAGAGCAAAUACAGAGGGUUCACUGCAAGAUGCAAGCCUCUCAUAAGCCUUAAGAAUACAAAGGCUAAAUUGGACAUCGCAAGAAAAACAUCUAAAAAAGCCAGAACAGUUCUGGAAGAGCAUUCUUUGGACAGAUGAAACCAACAUCAACCUGUAUCAGAAUGAUGGAAAGAAGGGCUGGAACAGCUUAUGAUCCAAAGAACACUGCAUUACCUGUAAAACAAGGUGGAGGCAGUGUGUUGGCUUGGGCAUGCAUGGCUGCCAGUGGCCCUGGGUCUUUAGUGUUUCUUGAUGAUGUGGCACUGUAUGGAAGCAGCUGAAUGAAUGCUGAGGUGUUCAGAGACAUCAUGUCUGCUCAAAUCCAGCCAAAUGCAGUCAAAUUAUUGGCCGGUGUUUCAUGAUACAGAUGGACAAUGACCCAAAACACACAGCAAAAGCAACCCAGGACUUUAUUAAAGCGAAGAAGUGGAACAUUCUCGGAUGGCCAAGUCAGUCACCUGAUCUCACCCCCAUUGAGCAUGCAUUUCGCUUGCUAAAGACUAAACUACAGACAGAAAGACCCUCAAACAAACAGCAACUGAAAGCUGCUGCAGUAACGGCCUGGCAGAGCAUUAAAAAGGAGGAAACCCAGCGUCUGCUCAUGUCCAUGAGUUCAAGACUUCAGGCAGUCAUUGCCUGCAAAGGGUUUUCAGCUAAGUAUUAGAAUUGAACAUUUUAUUUGCAGGUAUAUUAAUUUGUCCAGUUACUUGAUCCCCCUGAAAGGAGGGGAUUGUGUAGAAAAAUUACUUUAUUUCCCCACAUUUUUAUGCAAUGUUUUUGUUCUACCCACUGAAUUAAAGCUGCACUUCGCCUGCAUCUACAUUAGUCUAACAUAAGAGUUGCGUACAGAAAGCUAACACAGGACGAAGGUUAACCAUAAGUAACCAAAUACAAUAUUUUUUGUUUUUUGAUUGCAUUCACAGAUCUGAAAUGAAAAAUGUUCCCCACAACGUCAAAAUUACAGUUUUUAUUAUAUCGUGGGGAACAUUUGGUCCCCACAACAUAAUAUAAACAUAAUCCACACACACACACACACACACACGGUCACAAAAGACAGUUUUGAUGUUUCUGUAAGUAGAUUAUCAGCAGGAUGAAAAACACGACACCUGCAGGAUAUCGUCUGUGAGGCUUUUAAACCCCAAUAAAGUCAUGAUUAUUCCGAA